CGAGGUGGCGGACGGGUGAGUAAUGUCUGGGAAACUGCCCGAUGGAGGGGGAUAACUACUGGAAACGGUAGCUAAUACCGCAUAACGUCGCAAGACCAAAGAGGGGGACCUUCGGGCCUCUUGCCAUCGGAUGUGCCCAGAUGGGAUUAGCUAGUAGGUGGGGUAACGGCUCACCUAGGCGACGAUCCCUAGCUGGUCUGAGAGGAUGACCAGCCACACUGGAACCGAGACACGGUCCAG
rnacentral:rRNA from 1 species